rnacentral:rRNA from 1 species
GUCGAGCGAACAGACGAGGAGCUUGCUCCUCUGACGUUAGCGGCGGACGGGUGAGUAACACGUGGGUAACCUACCUAUAAGACUGGGAUAACUUCGGGAAACCGGAGCUAAUACCGGAUAAUAUUUUGAACCGCAUGGUUCAAUAGUGAAAGAUGGCUCUGCUAUCACUUAUAGAUGGACCCGCGCCGUAUUAGCUAGUUGGUAAGGUAACGGCUUACCAAGGCGACGAUACGUAGCCGACCUGAGAGGGUGAUCGGCCACACUGGAACUGAGACACGGUCCAGACUCCUACGGGAGGCAGCAGUAGGGAAUCUUCCGCAAUGGGCGAAAGCCUGACGGAGCAACGCCGCGUGAGUGAUGAAGGUCUUCGGAUCGUAAAACUCUGUUAUUAGGGAAGAACAUACGUGUAAGUAACUGUGCACGUCUUGACGGUACCUAAUCAGAAAGCCACGGCUAACUACGUGCCAGCAGCCGCGGUAAUACGUAGGUGGCAAGCGUUAUCCGGAAUUAUUGGGCGUAAAGCGCGCGUAGGCGGUUUUUUAAGUCUGAUGUGAAAGCCCACGGCUCAACCGUGGAGGGUCAUUGGAAACUGGAAAACUUGAGUGCAGAAGAGGAAAGUGGAAUUCCAUGUGUAGCGGUGAAAUGCGCAGAGAUAUGGAGGAACACCAGUGGCGAAGGCGACUUUCUGGUCUGUAACUGACGCUGAUGUGCGAAAGCGUGGGGAUCAAACAGGAUUAGAUACCCUGGUAGUCCACGCCGUAAACGAUGAGUGCUAAGUGUUAGGGGGUUUCCGCCCCUUAGUGCUGCAGCUAACGCAUUAAGCACUCCGCCUGGGGAGUACGACCGCAAGGUUGAAACUCAAAGGAAUUGACGGGGAACCCGCACAAGCGGUGGGAGCAUGUGGGUUUAAUUCCAAAGCAACGCCGAAGAAACCUUACCAAAUCUUGGACAUCCCUUUGACC